rnacentral:rRNA from 1 species
CCGGCAAACGGGUGCGGAACACGUACAGAACCUUCCUUUAAGCGGGGAUAGCCCGGAGAAAUCCGGAUUAAUACCCCAUAGUAAUGUUGGGUGGCAUCACUUGAUAUUUAAAGAUUUAUCACUUAGAGAUGGCUGUGCGGCUGAUUAGGUAGUUGGCGGGGUAAAGGCCCACCAAGCCAUCGAUCAGUAACUGGUGUGAGAGCACGACCAGUCACACGGGCACUGAGACACGGGCCCG